UCAUAUAUUUUCACAGAAAUUACUUUUACAACUUGUAACAACACAUUGGAAUAUAUUUCAGGGAAGUAAUUUCAUAUUUCCCAAUACACAUCUCACUUAAAUAACAAAUGCUAGAUAAGAGAAACAACAGUUUCAUAUAUUUCAUAGAAGUAAUUUCAUAUUUUUUCGCAGAAAUUAUUUUCACAACUUGCAACACCGCAUUGAAAUAUAUUCCAGGGAAGUAAUUUCUCAAUACAUAUAUCACUAAAAUAACAAAUGACAGAUAAGAGAAAUAGUUGUUUCAUAUUUUUCAGAGAUCUAAUUCCAUAUAUUUUCAUAGAAAAUAGUUUUGCAACUUACAACAACACAUUGAAAUCCCAGUUUCAAAUUUUUCACAAAGGACAAACCUCUCUCACUUUCUGAAAUAACAAGUUACAGAUAUGACAAAUAGCAGUUUCAUAUAUUUCAAUGUGGUAAUUUCAUAUAUUUUCACAGAAAUUAGGUUCACAACUUGCAACACCACAUUGAAAUAUAUUUCAGGAAAGUAAUUUCAUAUAUUUCAGUACAUUUCUCACCGAAACAACAUGUUACAAAUAUAUGAAAUAGCAGUUUCAUAUAUUUCAGAGAAGUAAUUUCAUAUAUUUGGACAAAAAAUAGUUUCACAACUUGCAACACCACAUUGAAAUACAUUUCAAGGAAGUAAUUUCUCACUGAAAUAACAAGUUACAAAUAUGAGAAAUAUCAGUUUUAUGUAUUUCAGAGAAGUAAUUUCAUAUAUUUUAGAGAAAUUAGUUUCACAACUUGCAACAAUACAUUGAAAUAUUAGUUUCACAUUUUUUGCGCAGCUCAACUACACACAACUAUUUCAAUUCAUAUCCCACUCAAAAUCAUUCCAACCAUUUUCAGAAAUAUGUAACACUUCCACAGACUGAAAUUGUCUGUUUCACCAUAUUGAAAUAUAAAUUCACAUAUAUUCCACAAAUCAUUUCACAUAAAUUUGUUUCACAACUUGCAACACCACAUUCAAAUAUAUUACAGGGAAGUAAUUACAUAUUUUCAGAGAAGUAAUUUCAUAGAUCUCAGUCUCUUUCAAAAAACUAUACUCCAUGCUCUCUGUCACAAACAAAGAAUGUUCAAAUCAAGUUGCAAAUAUAUGAAAAUGAAGUAGCAGGGGAGGCCGACGAUCUGGUAAAGAAACAAAGAAUGUUCAACAAAUAUCUGAAACUGAAGUAGCAGGGGAGGCUGAUGAUCUAGUAAAGAAACAAAGAAUGUUCAACAAAUAUCUGAAACUGAAGUAGCAGGGAAGGCCGACGAUCUGGUAAAGAAACAAAGAAUGUUCAAAUCAUGCUAAUUAAAUCCGAAAUCAUGAAGUGCAUAUGGAGAGAGGUUAGGAUAGAUGGGAUUGUGGACUCACAAAAUUCGGCGGCGGUCAGGCUUGGAGUCGCCGGAUCUGGCGAUGACCCGUCCUGGUGCCCGUGCUCACGAGCUGAUCACGUCGGGGACGAGAUGGACGAGGAGGCCGCCGAGAGGCGUCGUGGAUGCCGGAUCCAGCGCCAGCCGGUGAAGCCACUACCUUGUUGCCGUCAUCGGACCCAUCGAUGGCCGGGACAGACACACCUCACCGCAAAACUACCUCGCUGAAGUUGACGAUCGCCAGAGUUGGGCGGAGGCUGGUGGGGAAGCAAAUCCGGUGGCCGGAGUUGACGGUCGCCAGAGUUGGACGGAGGCCGGCCGGUCAAGCUUCUGUUGCUCUGGGGAGAGAGAGAGAGGUUGUACGAUCUAAUCUGGAGAUAAUGCGAGAGAGAGACGGGGCUGGUUGGGAGAUAUUUAUUGUUGGGCCCAUCGUCC
rnacentral:lncRNA from 1 species